rnacentral:lncRNA from 1 species
GCCAAACCCAUCCAGAGCCAAAUAGUGUGAGUGCGGUUUCAAUAAACUCUUCUCUAAAAUUUGAAAAGGAACCAAAAUCCUUUUCAAUCUGCUCAAGUAGACCCAAUAUCGGUAAAUUACCACCUCCUGGUUGCAUGGAUUCCCAGAAGAAAUCAUGAUUCCAGACCUGAAAACCAACGUUAUAUUCUGGCAGAGGGUUUCCGUUGUUAUAUGUGACUCUGAUCAAUUCAUCCAAUGUGUAUCCGUAUAAUAUAUCAUCCUUUCCUAAAUAUUUGUUCAAACUUUCCACAUAACCACGGUGAUGUUCUCCCCAGUGGACCUCAAGCGUUCUUUUGCUCAUAUACGGCUCUAGG